UCCCUGGAGGGCUAGUGGUUAGGCCACAGCACUCUCACCGCUGUAGCCUGGAUUCGAUUCCUGGCCAGGGAA